GAGAAAAAUAACAUUAGAUAAACACUGAAAAAGAAGGUCUUUGAAACUUUGAGUACUUAUUUCCAAUUAAAAAAAAAAUGUAAGUUGGGCACAGUGGCUUACAUCUGUAAUGGCAGCACUUUGGAAGGCUGAGGCAGGAGGAUCGCUUGAGCCCAGGAGUUCAAGACAAGCUUGGGCAACAUGGUGAAACCCUGUUGCUGCAAAAAUUUUAAAUGAGCCAAAUGUUAUAGUGUAUACCUGUGGUCCCAGCUACUGAGGAGGCUGAGAUGGGACAAUGAUCUUGGGAGGUCAAGGGUGCAGUGAGUUAUGAUUCACUGCAGUCCAGUCUGGGCAAUGGAGCAGGACACUGUCUCAAAAAAAAAAAAAAUGAGGCUGGGUACGGUGACUCACACCUGUAAUCCCAACAUUUUGGGAAGCUGAGGCAGGUGGAUCAUUUGAGGCCAGGAAUUUGAGACCAGCCUGGCCAACAUGAUGAAACCCAGUUUCUAUCAAAAAUACAAAAAUUAGCUGGGUGUGGUGGCCGGUGCCUAUAGUCCCAGCUACUUGGGAGACUGAGGCAGGAGAAUCACUUGAACCCAGGAGGCAGAGGUUGCAGUGAGCUGAGAUUGUGCCACUGCACUCCAGCCUGGGUAGUCUCAAAAAAAAAAAAAUGCAAUGUGCUACUAAAUUUUGCCUGCCUUUGUGACCAGGUAAAGCAUAGGUAUGACAUGAGCUCUGCAACUACAAUGGUCUUUCUAGGACUCACAGUGAGUGAUGCAAGGAGGAACAGCUAGCCAGGCUUUAUUUGGGGUAGCAUGCAACAGAUACAACAGUGCCACAGUUCAAGCCAUGCAGAACAGUGGUGAUGGAUGUGAUGCCAGGGACAUUUGUCCUGCUAUCCAGACCUCUCCAGCUGCCAGCCCUAUGAUUCCUGCCUGUUUUCCAAGUCUGGAUCUCCAUUUCCCAGCCAAUUCUUGGUAUAAUCACCAGUCACAGCAGCCUCAAACUUCUGGGCUCAAGCAAUCCUCCUAUCUCAGCCUCCCGAGUAGCUGCUGGGAAUACAAGCACAUGCCACCACGCCCAGGUGAUUUUUAAAAUUUUCUGUAGAGGCUGGGUUUUGCUUUGUAGCCCUGGAUGGUCUUGAACUCCUGCAAUCCUUAAGCAAUAUUCCCAGCGCAGCCUCCCAAAGUGCUAGGAUUACAGGCCUGAGCCACCAUGCGUGCAACCUCUCCCUACUCUUUAAUGUCAUCUACAUUCCUGGUCUUUCUCCCUCAUCCACUUGCCCAUACUGUUGUUUUGCUAUCCAAUCCAACUCCUGUCACAUGACUUCUCAGUUCCUUGACCUCCUUACCUCAAUGGUUAUUUCCUUCAUUCCACCUGAGCCAUUCCUCCUAAAAUCACACCUGGUUAUGACUGGGAACUGCUGUGGACCCAAAGGUGUGUGACUGGGGUCCCCAAGACAAGUUUUCUUUUUUUUUUUUUGAGAUGAGGUCUUGCUAGGUCACUCAGGCUGGAGUGCCAUGGUGCAAUCACAGCUCACUACAGCCUCGAUCUUCUUGGUUCAAGCAAUCCCCCCACCUCAGCCUCCCAAGUAGCUGGCACUACAAAAGAACACUACCAUACCUAGCUUGUUUUCAAAUUUUAUUUUUACAAACUGGGUCUUGCUAUGUUGUCCAGGCUGGUCUUGAAUUCCUGGACUCAAGUGAUCCUCCCGCCUUGGCCUCCCAAAGAGCUGAGAUUACAGGCAUGAGCUGGCCUCAUGCCUUGCUGGCCACAGCUUGUCAGCACGUUUUCUCAAAGGGACAUCUGUGCAGCAAACUUCAUGACUGUCACUAUCCACCUCUUACACUGCACAGAUCCACUUUUCCCUAUGUGUUUAGGGAACAACUCCUCCCAAAUUCCUGUGGACCUCUUUCCUGAAGGUAAACUUAGAAGAUGGGGGUUAGUGGAAAGAAAUACAGUCCCUGUUAGGGGAUGCAUAUUGUCACGGAGCUGCAACAGGUUUUCAUUCUCUUUCCUUCACUAUCCAUUCUAAACUUCUCUUAUCCACAGCCCCUCUUGACUGGUCUUAGAGGCUCUCCCGAAGGUGUAAUUAAAACUCUGAGGAGGCAUUUGAGAGCUUUCUAACUAUCACCUCUUCAGGCCAGGAUUGCUGAUGUGCCCACUCUCAAUUAAAACUGGGCAAGGAAGCAUCAAGAUGCACCCAAGUGUUCCACAUGUAUACUCCCAUGUCACUUGUGUAAAAGUAACCCACCUCCCCCUACUGAUUAGGUCAAUUAUCCCUGCCGAGAUGGUAAUUAUUCUUAUUUUUACUUUUAUUUAUUAAAAAAAAGAUUUUUUUCUGGCCUAAAAUGGGAAAAAAAAAUUUUUUUUUUUUUUUUUUUUUCAGAGAGGGUUCUCUCUACGUUGCCCAGGUUGGAGCGCAGUGGCUAUUUACAGGUGUGAUCCCACUACUGAUCAGCACAGGAGUUUUGACAUGCUCCGUUUCCGACCUGGGCCGGUUCAUUCCUUUUUGGCAACCUCGUGGUCCCCCGCUCCUGGGAGGUCACCAUACUGAUGCUGAACUUAGUGCGGACAUCCGAUCGGCAUAGCGCACUGCAGCCCAGAACUCCUGGGCUCAAGCAAUCCUCCCACCCACCUCAACCUCCCGAGUAGCUGGGACUACAGGCACACACCACCGCGCCCAGCACUUUUAUUUAUUUAUUUGUUUAUUUUGAGACGGAGUUUUGUUCUUGUCACCCAGGCUGGAGUGCAGUGGUGCGAUCUUGCCUCACUGCAACUUCUGCCUCCCAGUUUCGAACGAUUCUCCUGGCUCAGCCUCCUGAGUAGCUGGGAUUACUGACGUCCACCAACGUCCCUUGCUAAUGGUUUUUUGUUUUUUUUGAAGCAGAAUCUUGCUCUGAUGCCCAGGCUGGAGUGCAGUGGUGCAAUCUCGGGUCACUGAAACCUCCACCUCCUAGGUUCAAGCCAUUCUCCUGCCUCAGCCUCCUGAGUAGCUGGGAUUACAGGCACCUGCCACCAUGCCCAGCUAAUUUUUGUAUUUUUAGUACAGACAGCGUUUUACCAUGUUGGCCAGGAUGGUCUUGAUCUCUUGACCUUGUGAUAUGCCCACCUCAGCCUCCCAGAGUGCUGGGAAUACAGGCAUGAGCCACUGCAGCCAGCCUAAUUUUUGUAUUAUAGAAGACGGGGUUUCACCAUUUCGGCCAAGCUGAUCUGGUCUCGAACUCCUGACCUCAAGUGAUCCUCCUACCUCGGCCUUCCAGAGUGCUGGGAUUACAGGCGUGAACCACUGUGCCUGGCCUGAGGUGGUAACUCUACUUAUCUGCUGGUCCCUGGUCAUAAGGAGUUCAAAGUGCACUGGUGGUAGCAGUAGUUUAUCGUUCAGUGGGACCCUUGCUAUUUCCUCUGGCAAGCAAGUGGCCUUUUGGUGUAGUAGGACCUAUAAUCCUCCAGAGCCGAGCAUUACAGAAGCACAAAAUCCCCAGUAGGUCAUUGGGAGUGAGGGAAAAUGGAGCUGCUCCUGCUUUCACCUUCAUUUCCGGGACCCACAUAUUCUUAUUGAGAACACUGUGCUACAUGGACUCUGAUUUAAUGUUGACACUGCAUCUGGAAGGAUGGCAUCCUACCCUUACAGUGCACUGUCUCUAAGCUGUGCUUAAGCUGUGCCUUCGGUGGCCUUUCCGGUACUUCAUGAAGUUGAAUCGUGUGGUAGAUUCAAGGUGAUGCAUCUGGGAUUAUCUGUCAACUAUGCUCUCUGCAGCAGGUUCUCUUUGAGGGUCGUAUGAGUGGUGCACCUCCAUGGCUAACACGAUAUUCAAACUGUUAACUGAAUUUGUACCCAUGGAAAACACCUUUCAAAAAUUAUGUCAAAGUAAAGCCUUUUUCGAACUAACAAAAGCUGAGAGAAUUAAUUGACAGCAGACCUGCAUUACAAGAAAGGGUUUUUUAAAUUUAAAUUUGAGUUUUUUUAAGAGAUGGAGUCUCAUUCUGUCUCCCUGGCUGGAGUGCAGUGGUGCAAUCAUAGCUUGAACUCCUGGCCUGAAGCAAGUCUCCCGCCUCAGUCUCUUGGGUAGGGAUUACAGGUGUGAGCCACCACACCUGGCUAAUUUGUAAUCUGCACCUGCCAAGUUAACAAGAAAUGUGAAAGUGAUUUGAGCUGAAGUAUGAUACCUAACAGACAUUUAUAUAUCCAUAUAAACAAGAGCUCAAUGUAUGAUGGUAACACAAAGGUAACUGUAAUUAAAUACAUUUUUUUCUCAUUUUUAAGAGAAUUGAUGUCUAAACCAAAAUAGUAGGAAUAU
ensembl:lncRNA